rnacentral:lncRNA from 12 species
GCAGCCGUUGGUGACAGGGUGGAGCACGGUGACCGUGGAACCGAGUGGAACGUUGUGGGACGCGGUGUCCAAGCAACCGUUGGUGGCACGAGGUGACAUAGGUGCUGGCGGCGAGGCGGCCACGCCAGAGUGCUCGGUGCUUGCGACGGGACAGGACGCAGAGAGCGGAGCACUCCGCUUCCGCAGAGCUGUGCAGGUGCUGCGGAGGUUCCUGCGCACUCGCCGUAGGAAGACCACGGCCACAGCACCCGAGGAAACAGCCCAGCCCGACUGCAGGCCCAGCGAGCUGCAGGCAGAGCCUGGUGCCAGCACAGAGUCCUCUGCACGCGCAGCAGACUCUGCCAUGGCAACGGCUGAGGGCAGCGCCAAGGCUGCCACGGCCCGGGCUGAGAGCGUGGCCAGCACAGACACCCUCGCAGGGAGCAUGUCAGAUACUGACUCCAUGGCCAGCCAGACUGACAUUCCUGCUCCCACUCUGGACUUUCCCCAGGAGGAGGGUGCUUUUUCUCCUCAGCAGGUGCCAGCCAUCGUGGCAGACAUUCACCAGAGACUCAUGUACUGUGUCACUGUGGACGCCGGGCUGCAAAAUGUCCUUGUGACACUGGCUGAAGAACACCCCGUUCACGUGGUGCCGGGCUGCAAAAUGUCCUUGUGACGCUGGCUGAAGAACACCCUGUUCACGUGGUCAUGAGUCUCCUGUGCUGUGCCCCAUCGUGUGACCGAGCUGCCGUCCUGAUGUGGAGAACCAUCGGCUCGUCGGGACAGGUAGUGCAGGAGGUGCUUGCAGCACUGCUCUCUGUGAUGGAGUCCAGCAUGUUCUCCAGAGAGGACAACGAGGCCGUCUUUGCCCUGGCUGUGAGUUUCUGCCCCUGGCCUUUGCUCACCCUCCAGGUGCCCUCUCUAGCAGCUCUCCAUGCUCUGCCCAGCGCCCUGCAGCUCCCAGUCUCGGGCGCUGGGCUGGAAGCUGGGCUAGGGCCAGGCUCAGGAGCAGCAGGCCGGGUCACCGCUGAGGGCAGCGCCAAGGCUGCCACGGCCCGGGCUGAGAGCGUGGCCAGCACAGACACCCUCGCAGGGAGCAUGUCAGAUACUGACUCCAUGGCCAGCCAGACUGACAUUCCUGCUCCCACUCUGGACUUUGCCCAGGAGGAGGGUGCUUUUUCUCCACAGCAGGUGCCAGCCAUCGUGGCAGACAUUCACCAGAGACUCAUGUACUGUGUCACUGUGGACGCCGGGCUGCAAAAUGUCCUUGUGACACUGGCUGAAGAACACCCCGUUCACGUGGUGAUGAGUCUCCUGUGCCGUGCCCCAUCGUGUGACCGAGCUGCCGUCCUGAUGUGGAGAACCAUCGGCUCGUCGGGACAGGUAGUGCAGGAGGUGCUUGCAGCACUGCUCUCUGUGAUGGAGUCCAGCAUGUUCUCCAGAGAGGACAACGAGGCCGUCUUUGCCCUGGCUGCAACUGUGGUACUGUGGGCGACU